GCGAUGAUAAUUUAAUGGUUAGAAUAUCGCGUUGCCAACGCGGAUAUCCGGGUUCGAUUCCCGGUCAUCGCA
rnacentral:tRNA from 1 species